rnacentral:ribozyme from 14 species
AGAAAGGAAGGAGAAAGGCAAGCAAAAGGCGCGAGAAAGAGGACAAGUGUCUCCUCUGAUGAUGUUUUUUCCCCAGCGGUGCGUGCUUUCCUCUGUUCCCUCUGUUCUCUUCUCUUUCCUGUGUCUCUCUCUUUUUCUAAUGAUCAUUUUCAAAGGGGAAAGGAAAGGAAAGAGAAAGACAUGAAUGAAUGAAUGAGAGAUGGAUU